ensembl:lncRNA
GGAUGAUUGGCAAAGCAAUACUUCUCUCUUAUCUUUAUUUACAACAUCUGUAGUGUGUGUGUGUGUGUGUGUGUGUGUGUGUGUGUGUGUGUGUGAUUACCACAGACAGGAAUUUCAACACGUUUCUCUGAACCUGUUCACUCCGGACUCACUGAAGCCGGUUGUAUACCGUGUGCGAUUUCAGCAUUAUGUAAAGUUUAUUUCUUGUCCAGAAGAUUCCUAAUAAAAUCUGAUCCGAAUCGGAUAUCAGACUGUAACGCGUUCUCCGUGUCGGAUCAUACGACGCGACGAUCCUUUACGACGCGGUUACACCAGGUUAGAUUUACAUCGUUCAUCGGCGUGGUCCAGAAAACAGGAAACACUCUUCAAAGUGAGCUCGAGGAAAUAAAGAUAUUUAUUCCGUCCAUUCUCACGUCUCGUCACGUUUUGUCAUCGUCGCUGCCGUAUCUGUAGCCGCCGCACGACACGGCCGUCCUCCUGCUGCUGGAUCUUUAGACGAGAGUCAGAGCGGUGCUCACACUCUGAGGCUUACAUGAAAGGAUCUCUCUCUCAGAACUUUGUCCGGAAGCAGAAAAUCCACCAGAGUACCUGCUUAACAUAACUGCGUAGAGAAGAGGAGAAGGAUCACGACAAGAAGGAGGGGAGGAUUAGGAAAAUGAAAGGAGAAUAUGGAAAGAAGGGGGGGGAAGGUAGGAAUAACAAAAGGAAAGAAGGAAGGAUGUAAGGAUUAAGAAAAUGAAAGAAGGAGAAUAUGAAAAGGAAGGAAGAAAUACGAAAAUGGAAGAAGGAUUCAGUAGAGGAAGGAAGGAGGGAUUGAGAAAAUGAAAGAAGGAGAAUAUGGAAUGGGAGGAAGGAAGGAAUAAGGAAGUGGAAUAAGGAAUAUGGAAAGGAGGGAAGGAAGAAAGGACAGAAGGACAGAAGGAAGGAUUAAGAAAACGGAUGAAGGAAUAUAGCAAGGAUGGAAGGAAGAAAUGACAGAAGGAAGGAAGGAAUGGAUAAGAAAAUGAAAGAAGGAAUAUGGGAAGGAAGAAAAGAAUAAGAACACGAAUGAAGGACAGAAGAUUUAAAGAAGUAUGCACAGCGAUGGAUAUAACACUGUGUAUCAUUUUGUUUGAUGUAAUUGAUUAAUUUGAAUAAAUCGGCACCAGACUCCAGGUGAUUCUCCAGGUGAUUCUCCAGGUGAAUCUCCAGAUGAUUCUCUAGGUGAUUCUCCGGGUGAUUCUCCAGGUGAUUCUCCAGGUGAUUCUCCAGGUGAUUCUCUAGGUGAUUCUCCAGGUGAUUCUCUAUGUGAUUCUCCGGUUGAUUCUCCGGGUGAUUCUCCGGGUGAUUCGUCAGGUGAUUCUCCAGGUGAUUCUCCAGGUGAUUCGUCAGGUGAUUCUCCGGGUGAUUCUCCAGAUGAUUCUCCAGGUGAUUCUCCAGGUGAUUCUCCGGGUGAUUCAUCAGGUCAUUCUCCAGGUGAUUCUCCAGGUGAUUCUCCAAGUGAUUCGUCAGGUGAUUCUCCAGGUGAUUUGUCAGGUGAUUCUCCAGGUGAUUCGUCAGGUGAUUCUCCAGGUGAUUCUCCAGGUGAUUCUCUAGGUGAUUCUCUAGGUGAUUCUCUAGGUGAUUCUCCGGGUGAUUCUCCAGGUGAUUCUCCAGGUGAUUCUCUAGGUGAUUCUCCAGGUGAUUCUCCAGGUGAUUCUCUAUGUGAUUCUCCGGUUGAUUCUCCGGGUGAUUCUCCAGGUGAUUCGUCAGGUGAUUCUCCAGGUGAUUCUCCAUGUGAUUCUCUAGGUGAUUCUCUAGGUGAUUCUCCGGGUGAUUCUCUAGGUGAUUCUCCGGGUGAUUCAUCAAGUGAUUCUCCAGGUGAUUCUCCAGGUGAUUCUCCAG